rnacentral:rRNA from 1 species
UUGAUUCUGGCUCAGGAUGAACGCUAGCGGCAGGCUUAACACAUGCAAGUCGAGGGGCAGCGCGGGGCAGCAAUGUUCUGGCGGCGACCGGCGGAAGGGUGCGUAACGCGUGAGCGACAUGCCCGUUGCCCGGGGACAACCGGUGGAAACGCCGACUAAUCCCCGAUGGGACGGAGGCCCUCAUGGGUCUCCGUUGAAAGUUACGGCGGCGACGGAUUGGCUCGCGUCCGAUUAGCUUGUUGGCGGGGUAACGGCCCACCAAGGCUACGAUCGGUAGGGGUUCUGAGAGGAAGGUCCCCCACAAUGGAACUGAGACACGGUCCAUACUCCUACGGGAGGCAGCAGUGAGGAAUAUUGGUCAAUGGGCGGAAGCCUGAACCAGCCAUGCCGCGUGCGGGAAGGAGGCCCUAUGGGCUGUGAACCGCUUUUGCCUGGGGGCAAUAAGGGCGUCGUGCACGUCCGAUGAGAGUACCAGGCGAAUAAGCAUCGGCUAACUCCGUGCCAGCAGCCGCGGUAAUACGGGGGAUGCGAGCGUUAUCCGGAUUCAUUGGGUUUAAAGGGUGCGUAGGCUGUGCGUCAAGUCAGGGGUGAAAUUCCGGGGCUCAACUCCGGGGCUGCCCUUGAUACUGUCGCGCUGGAGUGCGGAUGCCGCCGGAGGAAUGAGUGGUGUAGCGGUGAAAUGCUUAGAUAUCACUCAGAACACCGAUUGCGAAGGCAUCUGGCGAAUCCGUAACUGACGCUGAGGCACGAAAGCGUGGGGAUAGAACAGGAUUAGAUACCCUGGUAUUCCACGCCGUAAACGAUGAUGGCUAACCGCCGGCGACACACUGUCGGUGGCCAAGCGAAAGCGAUAAGCCAUCCACCUGGGGAGUACGUCGGCAAC